AUAAAAGCAGGGGCCUCUUGCCUUUGUGAAUGGGCCUCUCGUAAACUUCAGGGAAAUCAAUUGGCAUUGUUGUUGGGUGAACCUCCGUUUUGUUGAUUGUGGCUGAAGGAUCAGUAAAUGAUGCAACAUUU